rnacentral:rRNA from 1 species
UAAUACGUAGGAUGCAAGCGUUGUUCGGAAUUACUGGGCGUAAAGAGUACGUAGGCGGUUUGAUAAGUCUGAUAUUAAAUACAGAAGCUUAACUUCUGAACUGUAUCGGAAACUGUCAGACUAGAGGACAAUAGAGGAAGUGGGAAUUCUCAGUGUAGCGGUGAAAUGCGUAGAUAUUGGGAAGAACACCAGUGGCGAAAGCGCACUUCUGGGUUGUUACUGACGCUGAGGUACGAAAGCGUGGGGAGCAAACGGGAUUAGAUACCCCGGUAGUCCACGCUGUAAACGAUGGAUACUAGGUGUAGCCGGUCUCGACCCCGGCUGUGCCGUAGCUAACGCAAUAAGUAUCCCGCCUGGGGAGUAUGGCCGCAAGGUUG